ACAGAUGGGAGCUUGCUCCCUGAUGUUAGCGGCGGACGGGUGAGUAACACGUGGGUAACCUGCCUGUAAGACUGGGAUAACUCCGGGAAACCGGGGCUAAUACCGGAUGGUUGUUUGAACCGCAUGGUUCAAACAUAAAAGGUGGCUUCGGCUACCACUUACAGAUGGACCCGCGGCGCAUUAGCUAGUUGGUGAGGUAACGGCUCACCAAGGCAACGAUGCGUAGCCGACCUGAGAGGGUGAUCGGCCACACUGGGACUGAGACACGGCCCAGACUCCUACGGGAGGCAGCAGUAGGGAAUCUUCCGCAAUGGACGAAAGUCUGACGGAGCAACGCCGCGUGAGUGAUGAAGGUUUUCGGAUCGUAAAGCUCUGUUGUUAGGGAAGAACAAGUACCGUUCGAAUAGGGCGGUACCUUGACGGUACCUAACCAGAAAGCCACGGCUAACUACGUGCCAGCAGCCGCGGUAAUACGUAGGUGGCAAGCGUUGUCCGGAAUUAUUGGGCGUAAAGGGCUCGCAGGCGGUUUCUUAAGUCUGAUGUGAAAGCCCCCGGCUCAACCGGGGAGGGUCAUUGGAAACUGGGGAACUUGAGUGCAGAAGAGGAGAGUGGAAUUCCACGUGUAGCGGUGAAAUGCGUAGAGAUGUGGAGGAACACCAGUGGCGAAGGCGACUCUCUGGUCUGUAACUGACGCUGAGGAGCGAAAGCGUGGGGAGCGAACAGGAUUAGAUACCCUGGUAGUCCACGCCGUAAACGAUGAGUGCUAAGUGUUAGGGGGUUUCCGCCCCUUAGUGCUGCAGCUAACGCA
rnacentral:rRNA from 1 species